rnacentral:rRNA from 1 species
UGGUCAAGUUAUUAAGGGUGCAGGGCGGAUGCCUUGGCACUAGGAGCCGAUGAAGGACGUGAUAAGCUGCGAUAAGCUUCGGGGAGUUGCACGUAAACUUUGAUCCGAAGAUUUCCGAAUGAGGAAACUCACUUAGAGUAAUGUCUAAGUAUCAUUAAGUGAAUACAUAGCUUAAUGAGGGGAACUCAGGGAACUGAAACAUCUAAGUACCUGAAGGAAGAGAAAGAAAUUCGAUUCCGUAAGUAGCGGCGAGCGAACGCGGAUUAGCCCAAACCAAUAAAGUUUUCUUUAUUGGGGUUGCGGACAUAUCAUAACGAAGAGGUAUCGUAAUUGAAGAGGUUUGGAAAGACCCACCACAGAAGGUAAUAGUCCUGUAUGUUAAACGAGAAGACUUUAGAUAUGAUCCAGAGUACCACGGGACACGUGAAACCCUGUGGGAAGCAGGAGGGACCACCCUCCAAGGCUAAAUACUACCUAGUGACCGAUAGCGUAUAGUACCGUGAGGGAAAGGUGAAAAGAACCCCGGGAGGGGAGUGAAAUAGAACCUGAAACCCUGCACUUACAAGCUGUGGAAGCACAUUUCUUGUGUGACCGCGUACUUUUUGUAGAACGGGCCAACGAGUUACGUUAAGUAGCAAGGUUAAGCACUUAAGGUGUGGAGCCGUAGCGAAAGCGAGUUUUAACUGAGCGUUCAGUUACUUGACGUAGACCCGAAACCGGGCGACCUACCCAUGAGCAGGAUGAAGCGAAAGUAAAAUUUCGUGGAGGUCCGAACCCACGAGCGUUGAAAAGCUCGGGGAUGACUUGUGGGUAGCGGUGAAAUUCCAAUCGAGCCCGGAGAUAGCUGGUUCUCCCCGAAAUAGCUUUAGGGCUAGCCUCAAGGUGAGAGAUACGGAGGUAGAGCACUGAAUGUCCUAGGGGGUAUUGCACCUACCGAAGACUAUCAAACUCCGAAUGCCGUCAUCUUAUACUUGGGAGUCAGACUGUGGGUGAUAAGAUUCAUAGUCGAAAGGGCAACAGCCCAGAUCGUCAGCUAAGGUCCCUAAAUGUAAGUUAAGUGGUAAAGGAUGUGGGAUUGCACAGACAACCAGGAUGUUGGCUUAGAAGCAGCCACUCAUUCAAAGAGUGCGUAAUAGCUCACUGGUCGAGUGAUCCUGCGCCGAAGAUUUCCGGGGCUAAAACUUACUACCGAAGCUACGGCAUCAGUAAUGAUGGGUAGGGGAGCUUCCCAUACGGGUUGAAGCAUGACCGUAAGGACAUGUGGACAGUAUGGGAGUGAGAAUGUUGGCAUGAGUAGCGAGAUGUGGGUGAGAAUCCCACAGGCCGUAAACCCAAGGUUUCCAGGGGAAGGUUCGUCCGCCCUGGGUUAGUCGGGACCUAAGCUGAGGCCGAAAGGCGUAGGUGAUGGACAACAGGUUGAUAUUCCUGUACUACCGAUAACCGUUUGAGAGAAGGGAUGACACAGUAGGAUAAGCUAAGCACACUGUUGGUUAUGUGUGCCCAAGCAUUGAGGCAGUCAAAGUAGGCAAAUCCGCUUUGAUAAUGCUGGGAUGUGAUGGGGAGCGAAAUUUAGUAGCGAAGUAGCUGAUUUCACACUGUCAAGAAAAGUCUCUAUCGAGGUUAAAGGUACCCGUACCGCAAACCGACACAGGUGGGUGAGGAGAGUAUCCUAAGGCCAGCGAGAGAACUGUUGUUAAGGAACUCGGCAAAAUGACCCCGUAACUUAGGGAUAAGGGGUGCCACCAUCAGGUGGCCGCAGAGAAUAGGCCCAAGCGACUGUUUACCAAAAACAUAGGUUUCUGCUAAGUCGCAAGACGAUGUAUAGGAGCUGACGCCUGCCCGGUGCUGGAAGGUUAAGGGGAUCUGUUAGAGCAAUCGAAGCAGUGAACUUAAGCCCCAGUAAACGGCGGCCGUAACUAUAACGGUCCUAAGGUAGCGAAAUUCCUUGUCGGGUAAGUUCCGACCCGCACGAAAGGCGUAACGAUUUGGGCACUGUCUCAACAACAGACUCGGUGAAAUUGUAAUUCCGGUGAAGAUGCCGGAUACCUGCGACAGGACGGAAAGACCCCAUGGAGCUUUACUGUAGCUUGACAUUGGGUCUUGGUACUACAUGUACAGGAUAGGUGGGAGGCUUUGAAACCAGGACGCCAGUUUUGGCGGAGCCAUCCUUGGGAUACCACCCUUGUAGUACUGGGACUCUAACCAUAGACCAUGAAUCUGGUCUUGGGACACUGUCAGGUGGGCAGUUUGACUGGGGCGGUCGCCUCCCAAAAGGUAACGGAGGCGCUCAAAGGUUCUCUCAGUACGGUCGGAAAUCGUACGUAGAGUGUAAAGGCAAAAGAGAGCUUGAUUGCAAGACAUACAGGUCGAGCAAGGAUGAAAAUCGGACUUAGUGAUCCGGUGGUUCUGCGUGGAAGGGCCAUCGCUCAACGGAUAAAAGCUACCCUGGGGAUAACAGGCUUAUCUCCCCCAAGAGUCCACAUCGACGGGGAGGUUUGGCACCUCGAUGUCGGCUCAUCACAUCCUGGGGCUGUAGUAGGUCCCAAGGGUUGGGCUGUUCGCCCAUUAAAGUGGUACGCGAGCUGGGUUCAGAACGUCGUGAGACAGUUCGGUCCCUAUCCGUCGCAGGCGUAGGAAAUUUGAGAAGACCUGUCCUUAGUACGAGAGGACCGGGAUGGACGUACCUCUGGUGUACCAGUUGUCCUGCCAAGGGCAUGGCUGGGUAGCUAUGUACGGAAUGGAUAAGCGCUGAAAGCAUCUAAGCGCGAAGCCAACUUCAAGAUAAGAUUUCCCACCGCAAGGGUAAGACCCCAGAAAGACUAUCUGGUUGAUAGGUCGAAGGUGUAAGUGCAGCAAUGUAUUUAGCUUAUCGAUACUAAUAGGUCGAGGACUUGACCAAU